rnacentral:tRNA from 1 species
GGUAGUGUGCCCAAGUGGUCUAAGGCACAGGAUUAAGGUUCCAGUCUCUUAAAUGGGGCGUGGGUUUGAAUCCCACUGCUGCCA